rnacentral:rRNA from 1 species
GAUGAACGCUGGCGGCGUGCCUAAUACAUGCAAGUCGAGCGAACGGACGAGAAGCUUGCUUCUCUGAUGUUAGCGGCGGACGGGUGAGUAACACGUGGAUAACCUACCUAUAAGACUGGGAUAACUUCGGGAAACCGGAGCUAAUACCGGAUAAUAUUUUGAACCGCAUGGUUCAAAAGUGAAAGACGGUCUUGCUGUCACUUAUAGAUGGAUCCGCGCUGCAUUAGCUAGUUGGUAAGGUAACGGCUUACCAAGGCAACGAUGCAUAGCCGACCUGAGAGGGUGAUCGGCCACACUGGAACUGAGACACGGUCCAGACUCCUACGGGAGGCAGCAGUAGGGAAUCUUCCGCAAUGGGCGAAAGCCUGACGGGAGAACGCCGCGUGAGUGAUGAAGGUCUUCGGAUCGUAAAACUCUGUUAUUAGGGAAGAACAUAUGUGUAAGUAACUGUGCACAUCUUGACGGUACCUAAUCAGAAAGCCACGGCGAACUACGU